rnacentral:rRNA from 1 species
GAUGAACGCUGGCGGCGUGCCUAAUACAUGCAAGUCGAGCGAACAGACGAGGAGCUUGCUCCUCUGACGUUAGCGGCGGACGGGUGAGUAACACGUGGAUAACCUACCUAUAAGACUGGGAUAACUUCGGGAAACCGGAGCUAAUACCGGAUAAUAUAUUGAACCGCAUGGUUCAAUAGUGAAAGACGGUUUUGCUGUCACUUAUAGAUGGAUCCGCGCCACAUUAGCUAGUUGGUAAGGUAACGGCUUACCAAGGCAACGAUGCGUAGCCGACCUGAGAGGGUGAUCCGCCACACCGGAACUGAGACACGGUCCAGACUCCUACGGGAGGCCGCAGUAGGGAAUCUUCCGCAAUGGGCGAAAGCCUGACGGAGCCACGCCGCGUGGAUGAUGAAGGUCUUCGGAUCGUAAAACUCUUUUAUUAGGGAAGAACAAAUGUGUAAGUAACUAUGCACGUCUUGACGGUACCUAAUCAGAAAGCCACGGCUAACUACGUG